rnacentral:tRNA from 2 species
GCCCCGUUCGUCUAGCGGCCUAGGACGCUGGCCUUUCACGCCGGUAACACGGGUUCAAAUCCCGUACGGGGUACAA